CUUCAAACUGAACAGAACUACACUCUCUUCUACCAUUGUCUUAAAUAUCUAUAAUGGUCACGUUGCAAAAGCUAAAUUGUCGCUAGGGAACAUUAAAGCACUUGUGUGCGGAUCUUGGAGUAAACUGACGAUAGCAAAGAUUAUAGCAAACACCACAGAAAGGGAAUUGGUGCUCGCUAGCUCUGUAAAUUCAGCUAUUGUUGGAAGACCGCCAAUAUAAAACAAACUAUAUUAAAAUUACAAAUGGCACACAGACAGCAGAGCUGGGGACAGAUGGGCAGGAACAGGGAGUCUCAGGAGACAGACUGUGAGUCAGUGAGGGUGGUGAAAGGGAACGAGCCAGGGAAGAGAGAUUUCAGAGGACAGUGUCACAGCCAUGGCAGGCCCAGGUGUCAACCUUGUUGCAGGUAGCACCAGUAUAGGGGACAGUGGCACAGCAUUGUUCAGUUACCUCAGUGAUGGUACAAAAACAUAUCAGCCACACCUACAAUUUAUAGAACUGCAAACUCUUGCCAACAGAGUGAUGUUUCAAGAGAGAUGGUUUUGCGAUUUCCUCUGGCUACAUUAUAAUCCAUCAAUAAAAGGAGUGUUGUGUUCACUGUAGCCAAGGGUUUUCAAGCCAGCCAUCUUUUGGCCAAAGAGCAGAGUUUCAGUGAAGACUUGGGUACGGGCUAGCAUGGGCCAAGAGAGACUGAACGGCGUAGUUGUCUGUAAUGUACAUAAAGACAGGCUGGACAGUCUUCAGGGAAAAUAUCUGCCAUCAAUUUAUUGGAUCCAUUGAAACCCGCAAACAUAUAUUUGUUUAUAUUGUUCAGAAGAGUGUAUAGCAGUGGUUCUCAACUUUUUUGGGUACUGGAACCCCUGCAUAUUUUGAGGCAAGGCGGGCAAGGUUUUGAGUGGUCCUCAUAUGUUAUAUGUAAAGUUACUGGAAUCCUUGUGGUGCUGAAUACGUUAAUUACACUUUUUUAUUUCACAGACCCCUUGCAAUUACACCAGGGACCUGUUUGAGAACAAAUUAUAUUUGUUCUUUUGUUUAGUAGUUUUCUGUUUUUUGUACAUGACAGUACACUUAAAAUAAAUAAUUAGUAUGUUAUUUUAUUUAAAAUAGCAUACUUUGUGACAUACUUGUCCAUAGCUGCUGUUUGAAGAGUUGAGACACUGAACAAAAAAUAAGUAUUUUUGAAGGAUAUUUUUGGUUGAUUUAUUUGGGUUAUUCAUUGAAAUAGUUAUUUCACUUUUAGAACUGUACUUAUAUUCUGAGCUUGUUGUUCUUGUAAAGAUAUUGUAGUCGACUCAGGCCAGUGG
ensembl:lncRNA